GUGCUCACUUGGGCAGCAUAUAUAACAAAAUUAGAAUGAUCCAGAGAACAUUAGCAUGACCCUGGCAAGGAUGACGAAAAUUUGUGAAGCAUUUCAUUUUUAA
ensembl:snRNA U6 U6 spliceosomal RNA